rnacentral:rRNA from 1 species
AGAGUUUGAUCCUGGCUCAGGAUGAACGCUGGCGGCGUGCCUAACACAUGCAAGUCGAGCGAUCUCUUCGGAGAGAGCGGCGGACGGGUGAGUAACGCGUGGGUAACCUGCCCUGUACACACGGAUAACAUACCGAAAGGUAUACUAAUACGGGAUAACAUACGAAAGUCGCAUGGCUUUUGUAUCAAAGCUCCGGCGGUACAGGAUGGACCCGCGUCUGAUUAGCUAGUUGGUAAGGUAAUGGCUUACCAAGGCAACGAUCAGUAGCCGACCUGAGAGGGUGAUCGGCCACACUGGAACUGAGACACGGUCCAGACUCCUACGGGAGGCAGCAGUGGGGAAUAUUGCACAAUGGGCGAAAGCCUGAUGCAGCAACGCCGCGUGAGCGAUGAAGGCCUUCGGGUCGUAAAGCUCUGUCCUCAAGGAAGAUAAUGACGGUACUUGAGGAGGAAGCCCCGGCUAACUACGUGCCAGCAGCCGCGGUAAUACGUAGGGGGCUAGCGUUAUCCGGAAUUACUGGGCGUAAAGGGUGCGUAGGUGGUUUUUAAGUCAGAAGUGAAAGGCUACGGCUCAACCGUAGUAAGCUUUUGAAACUAGAGAACUUGAGUGCAGGAGAGGAGAGUAGAAUUCCUAGUGUAGCGGUGAAAUGCGUAGAUAUUAGGAGGAAUACCAGUAGCGAAGGCGGCUCUCUGGACUGUAACUGACACUGAGGCACGAAAGCGUGGGGAGCAAACAGGAUUAGAUACCCUGGUAGUCCACGCCGUAAACGAUGAGUACUAGGUGUCGGGGGUUACCCCCCUCGGUGCCGCAGCUAACGCAUUAAGUACUCCGCCUGGGAAGUACGCUCGCAAGAGUGAAACUCAAAGGAAUUGACGGGACCCGCACAAGUAGCGGAGCAUGUGGUUUAAUUCGAAGCAACGCGAAGAACCUUACCUAAGCUUGACAUCCCACUGACCUCUCCCUAAUCGGAGAUUUCCCUUCGGGGACAGUGGUGACAGGUGGUGCAUGGUUGUCGUCAGCUCGUGUCGUGAGAUGUUGGGUUAAGUCCCGCAACGAGCGCAACCCUUGCCUUUAGUUGCCAGCAUUAAGUUGGGCACUCUAGAGGGACUGCCGAGGAUAACUCGGAGGAAGGUGGGGAUGACGUCAAAUCAUCAUGCCCCUUAUGCUUAGGGCUACACACGUGCUACAAUGGGUGGUACAGAGGGUUGCCAAGCCGCGAGGUGGAGCUAAUCCCUUAAAGCCAUUCUCAGUUCGGAUUGUAGGCUGAAACUCGCCUACAUGAAGCUGGAGUUACUAGUAAUCGCAGAUCAGAAUGCUGCGGUGAAUGCGUUCCCGGGUCUUGUACACACCGCCCGUCACACCAUGGAAGUUGGGGGCGCCCGAAGCCGGUUAGCUAACCUUUUAGGAAGCGGCCGUCGAAGGUGAAACCAAUGACUGGGGUGAAGUCGUAACAAGGUAGCCGUAUCGGAAGGUGCGGCUGGAUCACCU